GACGAACGCUGGCGGCGUGCUUAACACAUGCAAGUCGAACGGAAAGGCCCUGCUUUUGUGGGGUGCUCGAGUGGCGAACGGGUGAGUAACACGUGAGUAACCUGCCCUUGACUUUGGGAUAACUUCAGGAAACUGGGGCUAAUACCGGAUAGGAGCUCCUGCUGCAUGGUGGGGGUUGGAAAGUUUCGGCGGUUGGGGAUGGACUCGCGGCUUAUCAGCUUGUUGGCGGGGUAGUGGCUUACCAAGGCUUUGACGGGUAGCUGGCCUGAGAGGGUGACCGGCCACAUUGGGACUGAGAUACGGCCCAGACUCCUACGGGAGGCAGCAGUGGGGAAUAUUGCACAAUGGGCGGAAGCCUGAUGCAGCAACGCCGCGUGCGGGAUGACGGCCUUCGGGUUGUAAACCGCUUUCGCCUGUGACGAAGCGUGAGUGACGGUAAUGGGUAAAGAAGCACCGGCUAACUACGUG
rnacentral:rRNA from 1 species